rnacentral:rRNA from 1 species
AACGAACGCUGGCGGCAUGCCUAACACAUGCAAGUCGAACGAAGGCUUCGGCCUUAGUGGCGCACGGGUGCGUAACGCGUGGGAAUCUGCCCUUUGCUUCGGAAUAACAGUUAGAAAUGACUGCUAAUACCGGAUGAUGUCGCAAGACCAAAGAUUUAUCGGCAAAGGAUGAGCCCGCGUAGGAUUAGCUAGUUGGUGGGGUAAAGGCCUACCAAGGCGACGAUCCUUAGCUGGUCUGAGAGGAUGAUCAGCCACACUGGGACUGAGACACGGCCCAGACUCCUACGGGAGGCAGCAGUGGGGAAUAUUGGACAAUGGGCGAAAGCCUGAUCCAGCAAUGCCGCGUGAGUGAUGAAGGCCUUAGGGUUGUAAAGCUCUUUUACCCGGGAUGAUAAUGACAGGACCGGGAGAAUAAACUCCGGCUAACUCCGU